GACGAACGCUGGCGGCGUGCCUAAUACAUGCAAGUAGAACGCACAGUUUAUACCGUAGCUUGCUACACCAUAGACUGUGAGUUGCGAACGGGUGAGUAACGCGUAGGUAACCUGCCUAUUAGAGGGGGAUAACUAUUGGAAACGAUAGCUAAUACCGCAUAACAGUAUGUAACACAUGUUAGAUGCUUGAAAGAUGCAAUUGCAUCGCUAGUAGAUGGACCUGCGUUGUAUUAGCUAGUAGGUAGGGUAAAGGCCUACCUAGGCAACGAUACAUAGCCGACCUGAGAGGGUGAUCGGCCACACUGGGACUGAGACACGGCCCAGACUCCUACGGGAGGCAGCAGUAGGGAAUCUUCGGCAAUGGGGGGAACCCUGACCGAGCAACGCCGCGUGAGUGAAGAAGGUUUUCGGAUCGUAAAGCUCUGUUGUUAAGGAAGAACGAGUGUGAGAAUGGAAAGUUCAUACUGUGACG
rnacentral:rRNA from 1 species